CCUGGGCAGGACUAGCAUCCCAAGAAGGAGAUGAGACUUGCUCAUUAAGAGUAAUAAAAUGAGGCACAGAUGAAGGAACCAAAACACUACAAAAAAAAAAAAAGACAGAGACAUUUUCCAUCAGCAUAUGGUAAAGCUAUACCAAGACCAAGAGAGUCAUUGGCAAUUUGCUCUUGAAGGUGGAAAAUAUAUUUUGCCCCCCAGAGGACCAUACGCCACACCAAGGUGGGCUAUGUAGGAAGAGAGUCAUAUCCAGGGAGUAUAGACAUGAAUAAGCUGAAGCACAAAGUUUGCAGCAUGUGUGUGUAAGAGUGUGUCUGUGUCUGUGCGUGUGUGUCUCUCUGUGUGUCUGUGUGUGUGCCAUGACUUGACUGUGGCUCUAGACAUACUAACCUACACAUGUGACAAAUAGCACAGAACUAAAUCCACAGACACAAGCAGACGAGUCAAGCAAAGCUGGGUAAGUGGGAUGAUGUCUAUGAUGGAAUCUGAAGCAGGAGGCUUAGGGCCCAGAUCCAACUAGAGGGGUCUCCCAUGACAGCUCUAGCCCCUCACCCCAACAUGUCAAAUAAAGAGACAAUGCAUGGUGAAGGGCUUGGCUACUUGGUAUGUACUUGCUGCCAGAAGAGGUGAAGUCUAUCGUUGGGGUAGAGACAGGAGCUGUAGGUUUCAACCAAGAAGAAAUUUGGGGUAGGAGGAGAAAGGUAUAUAUAAUUAUGAAACAGUCCUGGUCAGUGUGGCCUGGUUGGUCAUUAUGAGGAAGUUGUUACGAAGGCCCCUUUUGAGGGGAGCAAUGUGGUCAACAUAGGUAAGUCAUGGUGGCCUGGCAGGUGGUCAGUUCUGAGGAGGACUUCCGCUUCCCCACUCCUUGUGUGCAGGUUCAUCUGUCCCUCCUAGUAAAGAUGUUAUCCACCCAUCUUGACCUUCCACGAUUCCCAGGUGACUGCAAAGAGACUGACCGGAGAACCACUUAGAGAGAAGAAGACAGAUGGAAAAUGGAAGCCAAGCUCUUGUGUUUUUAUUUUUUUUUUAUUCAUGAACCCAGGUAAGGAGUUGGUGCUUUUUAGCAAAAGGAAAUUCUAAGUAUCUGUUAUAUAUCCACACCCAUGUCCUGCUUGUGAUGUUCCACUCUAGCUGAUCACAGUGUUACCAAUGGGAGAAACUGGGAAUCCUGCACCAGAAUUUCUUGGUAUUGCUUCUUACAAUGUCAUGUGAGGCGAGCUCAAAGUUGAAUAGAGCUUUUAGAAGUUCACAACAAAGUUCACAUCUCCCAGUGUGGUUGAAAUAUUCCCAGAGAGCAUUUCAGCACUGGAUCCUGUUCCUCCUCCUUCUCUCUUGCCACAAUGUGGCCAUGUUGUUGAUAACCCUGCCUCAUUAGACCCUGGCAGCUGGGGAAACAGUUGCAGACCAUGGCUCAGGCAAGGUUUCUAGGAGAAAUCUCUGACUCUGGGAGGUUCCACUGAAGACACACAGCCUGCUCACCGGCUCCAGCGUAGCCACGUCUGAGAGUUGAGGGUUGGGACAGCAACUAUGAAAUGGUGGAUCCCAGUGCUGGCUCCUGCUAUAUAUAAGCUGCUUUUCGCCAUGAUUAGGAUCAUGUCCUUGAGUCUGAGUACUUGGUCCAUACUGGGCUUCCCUGUGAGAACAUCAACUCCAUGAAGACAGGGACAUUUAAGUGGGCUCCUUGUCAUCCCACUGAUUGGCAGUGCCUUGUUAGAGUGGCCGUGUGUGAUCUCUGCCUUCCCAGAGCCAUUUGGUGUUCUUCUGUCCAUGGCACCAUCUUUAAUCUCUGGGGAACCAGCCAGCCCCCACUGCAGUCAUGGAGACAAUUUGAGUCAUGUGAGCGGGUUUUUAAAAUUUUAUUUAGUGUGUAUGUGUGUGUGUGUGCAUGCGCGUGUGUGUGCAUGCACACAGGUGCACAAAUGCAUGUGCACACCCAUACUACGGCUUGAACGCAGGACUUCUGAACUCUUGAUUUUUUCCCUCAUGGCUACUGUUCUACCACUUAAGCCCGUACCUCCACUUCUGGCUUUUUGCUGGUUAUUUGAAAAGUCUUAACAAACUUUCCUGCUCAAGCUGGCUUCACGCUGUGGUCCUUAGAUCUCAACCUCCUAAGCAGUUAGGAUUACAAGGGUGUCCUGGUUCUUGAUCUAAAGGGAGCCAGAGGACCCAGGGCAAACAUAUUUUUGCUAAAAUAACUUAAAAGACAAAUUGUCUCUUUCCCUUAUAGUUAGUGUUCUAAUAAGCUAUCCAUCUCCUGCACUACUCCCACCCAAGAUUAGUACCUGCACUAGUGGAAAACUUAGCACAAAAACAAAACAGAUACUAAGCCUUGAGGCCUUGUUUAAGCACCUGGGUCUAGCCAUCCCUUAAGCUAUAGCCUCAGACUUUUGAAUCAUGUAGAUAACUGGACUCUUUUUUUUUUUUUUUUUUCACUUUCAGCUAGUGUGAAGUGUGAGUUUCUGUCAUUUACAAUCACAAAGUCAUCCAGGUACUUACAUAGGGAUUUCAAAAAUGAAUGAAUGAACCAAUGCAAUUCUACAAAUAGGGACUGAAUAUUUCCUAUGUGGCACUGUUUCAAGUCCCAAACUAAAGGACAGAGGAUCUUCAGAAUUGACUCCUUCCCUUUGAAUCCAAGCAUGUGGCCUGCUGAUCUAGAAUGUGGAUCAAUUCAUCUAAUUACAGUGGCUGCUGAGAAAGAAAUAUCGCCUUUCUUCCCAACUUCUCCUUUGUCUUCUCUCAGCAGCACAGUGUGGGCCCUGCUGGGGCGGAGGCAUGGCCUGUGGAGUUCCUAACACCAGUACAUCCGCCCCUUAGGCCACGUGCUGGCUUCUCUCUGGACCAAAGAUUACAGCGAAGGACUGAACUGUUUUGCUGCCAUUUUGUCUGAAUAACUUCUUUGUUUCAAGUACUGUUUUUAUUUCCGUGAAAUCUGAGGGAGAACAAUGGCCUGAAGAGGGUAAGAGUUAACAAGUACCCUGUAGCUCUUGAGUGUGUUGAUGCUGUUCAUUUUUGCAAGCUCUGGCAAUGAACCCAAGCACCAGAGAAAGAUGAUUACCAUCAAAGAAAAAAUGGAACUUCUCAACCUAUUAAAGGAAGGCAAAAGCUACAGCUGUAGGCCACCACUAUAGGAUCGACUUAUCUACUGUUCACUACAUAAAAAAAUGAGAAUAUUAAUAGGUUUUGGGUAACGAUGACUUUUAACAAGACUGCAAAGAGGGUGGUCACUUCCGCAAUAGGGCCAUUGUGAGGAUGGAGUCUGCAUUGGCCCCACGGUUACAUGACUGAAGGAAGAAGACUAUCUCACUGGAUACCAACAUCAUCGGAACAAAGGCCAAGACACUUUAUGAUCACUAUUUGGAAAGCAUGGGUGUUCAUGGUGAUGAGGAUGAAGAUGAAGAUGCCAACGAAGGAGAAGCAGGAUAGUUGAGUGCUUCCCCCACCAGACCAACCCCAUCAGUGCCAGCAAGGACUGGUUUAACAAAUUUCAAAGACACUUUGGAUUCAAGAGUGUUUCUCUGCAUGGAGAAGCUGCCUCUGAAAGUUGAAGCCAAGCAGUCAGUACCUGCAUAACAUGUUCAAAUCCAUCACCAAGGAAUAGGGCUAUAAAUCUGAGAUGAACUCAGCAAGGGAAGAAGAGGAUGAGGAACAAGACAAACUACAGGUUGGGGAAGAGGAGGAGGCUGGCCUAAUACCCAAUCGUCUUGCAACCAUGGUCAGAAUGGCCAACGAACUUCAACAAGUAGCUGAAGAAUGGGACUCCUGAGAUGCUUUAUUCUUUGUACUUCCUAAAUACAGUUGGGAGUGGCAUGUCAGUUUGUAAACACCUUCUCACUCAGAAGAAAAAGCAACUCCAGCAGCUCCGCAUAACUAUGUUC